rnacentral:rRNA from 1 species
CCUACGGGAGGCAGCAGUGAGGAAUAUUGGUCAAUGGACGAGAGUCUGAACCAGCCAAGUAGCGUGAAGGAUGACUGCCCUAUGGGUUGUAAACUUCUUUUAUAUGGGAAUAAAAUGUUCCACGUGUGGGAUUUUGUAUGUACCAUAUGAAUAAGGAUCGGCUAACUCCGUGCCAGCAGCCGCGGUAAUACGGAGGAUCCGAGCGUUAUCCGGAUUUAUUGGGUUUAAAGGGGGCGUAGGUGGAUUGUUAAGUCAGUUGUGAAAGUUUGCGGCUCAACCGGAAAAUUGCAGUUGAAACUGGCAGUCUUGAGUACAGUAGAGGUGGGCGGAAUUCGUGGUGUAGCGGUGAAAUGCUUAGAUAUCACGAAGAACUCCGAUUGCGAAGGCAGUUCACUGGACUGCAACUGACACUGAGGCUCGAAAGUGUGGGUAUCAAACAGGAUUAGAUACCCGAGUAGUC